rnacentral:pre_miRNA from 1 species
GGUGUACUCCCUCCGUCCGUAAAUACUUGUCAUCAAAAUGGACAAAAAGGGAUGUAUCUAGAACUAAAAUACAUCUAGAUACAUCCCCUUUUAUUCAUUUUGAUGACAAGUAUUUCCGGACAGAGGGAGUAGUUU